UACGAAGGGGGCUAGCGUUGUUCGGAAUUACUGGGCGUAAAGGGCGCGUAGGCGGUACGACAAGUCAGGAGUGAAAGCCCGGGGCUCAACCCCGGAACGGCUUUUGAAACUGUCGAACUAGAGUGCAGAAGAGGCAACCGGAAUUCCCAGUGUAGCGGUGAAAUGCGUAGAUAUUGGGAAGAACACCUGAGGCGAAGGCGGGUUGCUGGGCUGACACUGACGCUGAGGCGCGAAAGCCAGGGGAGCGAACGGG
rnacentral:rRNA from 1 species